CCUACGGGAGGCAGCAGUGGGGAAUAUUGCGCAAUGGGCGAAAGCCUGACGCAGCGACGCCGCGUGAGGGAUGAAGGCCUUCGGGUUGUAAACCUCUUUCAGCAGGGACGAAGCGCAAGUGACGGUACCUGCAGAAGAAGCACCGGCCAACUACGUGCCAGCAGCCGCGGUAAUACGUAGGGUGCAAGCGUUGUCCGGAAUUAUUGGGCGUAAAGAGCUCGUAGGCGGCCUGUCGCGUCGGCUGUGAAAACUCAGGGCUCAACCCUGAGCCUGCAGUCGAUACGGGCAGGCUAGAGUCCGGCAGGGGAGACUGGAAUUCCUGGUGUAGCGGUGAAAUGCGCAGAUAUCAGGAGGAACACCGGUGGCGAAGGCGGGUCUCUGGGCCGGAACUGACGCUGAGGAGCGAAAGCGUGGGGAGCGAACAGGAUUAGAUACCCUGGUAGUCCACGCCGUAAACGUUGGGCGCUAGGUGUGGGGAACCUUCCACGUUCUCCGUGCCGCNGCACGCAUAGCGCCCGCCGUCGGGAGGUACGGCCGCGACGGACGUAAACGUAACGUAAGUAGUUAGUUAGUCGUUGUUGAGCGCGACGACGGACGACGACGGAGGAGGAGG
rnacentral:rRNA from 1 species